rnacentral:lncRNA from 1 species
AUGGAAUUUUUUGGGCCCUUGUCCACUGCUCCAACCUCAAGUCCUACAACCGUCUUCCAAAGGAAUGCUGACGACACACGGUUUCCUCGUUUCCUGCUUCUCCUCCUUGGAACGGGCUGCUGCCUGCCUGCACUGCCCGCUUCCUCCCAUCGCUGUUCCUAUCCGGCUAAGUCAUCGCGGCUCCGGGCUGCUCUCCGCGACCGGGGAGGGUCACAUCCUCCGCGCGGUACUGCAUUUGCUUUAACCCUCUCUGUGCCCGACUGCGGGGUCUCCCCAGGACCGCGGCCCGGGCUGGUUCACGCCUCCGCUCCCCACUGCGUGAGGCCCCGCAGCCUCUCGGGGAACGUUCGCUGUGCCCUCCGAGCCCCCGCGCCUCCCCGAGCCUGCGGCUUCCCCGCCGUCCUCCUCCCCUCCCCGCGGAGGGCUUCUCGGGCCGACGUUCUCCUCCGUGGGUGUCGCCAGUCUCAUCUUCGGGGGCUCGCGUCCUGCGAGCGAGCGACCUUCCGUGGGGGCAGACACACGGGUCGCGGGCGGCCGUCUGUGACACGGCCCUUCUGGAGCCCGCGGCCGGCGACCCCGCCGGACCCGUGGCGCUGCGGUUCCGCGUCGAGGAGUUCCGUUCCAGCCAGGGCGCGGGGAUCACCCCCACCCCCACUGCGGCCCCCGGCCCACCCCCGCGCCGCCGGCCGCCGCGCCGCCGCCUCACAAUGGCCGGCGGCCGCCUCACCGCGCGCACGGAUCCCGGCCACGCGCGCGCCCCUCCCCCACUCGCCGCCUCCCCGAGGCCCGGGUCUUGGACUAGCCUCUAGAUUCCCCUCCCUGCGCCCCCUGAGACAGAGGAGCGGGCGGCGAGGCCCCCUUUUCGCGGCGGUGCCCGACCUCUGGUCGUCCCGUGGCGCCCGGCGGCCCCCGCGGAGGGACUACUUUUCAGGUCGCGGAGGGACUACUUCCGCGGAGGCGUCGUCUGGCGGCGCGCACGGCAUGGCGGCGGCGGCGCGCCUGAGGUAG